AUUGAACGCUGGCGGCAUGCUUUACACAUGCAAGUCGAACGGCAGCGCGGGCUUCGGCCUGGCGGCGAGUGGCGAACGGGUGAGUAGUGCAUCGGAACGUGCCCAGUAGUGGGGGAUAGCCCGGCGAAAGCCGGAUUAAUACCGCAUACGACCUGAGGGUGAAAGCGGGGGACCGAAAGGCCUCGCGCUAUUGGAGCGGCCGAUGUCGGAUUAGCUAGUUGGUGGGGUAAAGGCUUACCAAGGCGACGAUCCGUAGCUGGUCUGAGAGGACGACCUGCCACACUGGGACUGAGACACGGCCCAGACUCCUACGGGAGGCAGCAGUGGGGAAUUUUGGACAAUGGGGGCAACCCUGAUCCAGCCAUGCCGCGUGCGGGAAGAAGGCCUUCGGGUUGUAAACCGCUUUUGUUCGGGAAGAAAUCCUCUGGGCUAAUACCCCGGGGGGAUGACGGUACCGGAAGAAUAAGCACCGGCUAACUACGUG
rnacentral:rRNA from 1 species